rnacentral:rRNA from 1 species
CCUACGGGAGGCAGCAGUGAGGAAUAUUGGUCAAUGGGCGAGAGCCUGAACCAGCCAAGUCGCGUGAGGGAGUACUGCCCUAUGGGUUGUAAACCUCUUUUGUCGGGGAGCAAAAGCCGGAAGUGUCCGGCUGUGAGAGUACCCGAAGAAAAAGCAUCGGCUAACUCCGUGCCAGCAGCCGCGGUAAUACGGAGGAUGCGAGCGUUAUCCGGAUUUAUUGGGGUUAAAGGGUGCGCAGGCGGAUUUUUAAGUCAGCGGUCAAAUCGUGGGGCUCAACCCCAUCCAGCCGUUGAAACUGGGGAUCUAGAGUGUGCGAGAGGUAUGCGGAAUGCGUGGUGUAGCGGUGAAAUGCAUAGAUAUCACGCAGAACCCCGAUUGCGAAGGCAGCAUACCGGUGCACAACUGACGCUCAGGCACGAAAGCGUGGGUAUCGAACAGGAUUAGAUACCCCAGUAGUC